UUUGGUGACGAUAGCGGAAGGGAACCACGCGUACCGCUCAUCACGGCCGUUAAGCCUUCCAGCGCCGUGGGUACUUGGACCGAAGGGUCCUGGGGAGUAGGACGUUGCCAAGC
rnacentral:rRNA from 1 species